UCAUGACCUGAGCCAAAGUUGGAUGCUCAACCGACUGAGCCACCCAGGCACCCCAAAUAUAUAUUAUUCUAGACACAAACAUACAGAGUAAAAGUAUAAGUAGAUAUAGAGGAUAAAGGAGUUUAGAAUAGCUGAGAAUGGAAAGGUUAACAAUUCCUAUAGGCCUUGCAAAUGUUAAAACAAUAAUAAAAAAUACUGUGAACAAUUCUAAGUUUAUAAAUUUGACAACUUAGAUGGAAUGGGCCAAUUCCUGGAAAGAAAAUAUUAAAUCUCACUUAGAAAUACCUAGAGCUGAAUAGUCCUAUGUAUUUAUUCAGUAAAUUGCUCUUGUAGUUAAAAAACCUUUCGAUGUGAGUGAUGGUAGAGGGCUUCAAAAAUUGUUCCCUCCAACUGAGACAACCAUUAUUAAGCUGGCAAAAACUGACAAAAUCAACUUUUUCAGAACUCUAGAAUCUAAUUCUGAAAACAAAUGAAAAGCUUAGAGCAACUAGUGAGGUACCUAAGAAAGAGGAUGCUAACCAUGAAGAAAGCACUGGUAUUUCUGCUUGCCCACCCACCAACCCCCUCUCCAGUGUGGCAAGGGCAGUAGGGACAGUGCCUGUGUUCCUGGUGCAGAUGGACAGGGUGAGACAACACAGAUUUUGUGUUCAAACACUGCUAAGACAGUUUUGAUCUGUCUAGUGGUUUCCUGGUGGGUGAGUGCAGAGGCUUGCCUGCCUUUUGCCCUUCUAGGUCUGGAAUGGCAUCCUGGGCCAGACUCAAUGAAAACUACGUCAUGACAUGUACGGUCUGUGGCACGGUGCUGGGAAAAGCAGAGACAACUCCAGAUGCCGGGGAAGGUGGAAGCUGAGGAGGAAGACAGUAGGGAGAAAAAGGGCCUGCACAGACUACAGUGCAUAAACCAGGGACUCCAGAGAGCAAUGUGCAUGCCCAGGGCUGGACACAGGCUCAGAAAACACUAGAGAGGACACUAGGCUGACAUCCAUCUCUGGCUAAUCUUAGGGCUCUUCCAAAGAGGUGGAGGGUAAGGCAAAAGGGUAGACAGCAUGGUUAAAUGGAGAAGGAGUGCCCCAGUGUAGAGCCACUAUGUAAAUAUCGAGUGAGUAUUUGAUUUUUCUUUUUGGUUCCAGAAGUUUAAGGAAAUCUCUGUCACAUCACCGGCUGACCUCUGAGAUAAUGGAACAGAAAUGGCAAUGACCACACUUGACAAGAAACAUAGCCUUGGAAAAACUGGAGAGUAAACAAAUGAACAAGUCCAGCCUUCAGCGAGCAGCAAAAGCAAACCGUGGGGAGGGGGACAACCUGCUUUCCAGACUUAAGCCCAUUAUAAUGUUUAUUCAUAUUACAAAACUUCUAACCAAAAGGUAAAGGCAUAAACAAGUAGGCCCAUUCACAGGGGGAAAGAAAAGGAAAUUGACAGGAAUCAUCCCUCAGAUAAUGCAAAUAUUGGAUUUACUAGACAAACAAUUUAAAUCAACUCUCUUAAGCAUGCUCAAAGGGGCUACAGGAAACCAUUGACAAAGAACUGAAAGAAACUAGGAGAACAAUGUAUGAACAAAUAAUAUCAAAAAGAUACAAGUUAUAAAAAGAAAUUAUGAAAUUCAAAGGUACAGUAACUGGAAUAUAAAAUUCAAUACAACACAUCGAAACAGAUUUGAGCAGGCAGAAAAAUCUGUACGACUGAAGACAUUUGAAAUGAAUCAGUCUGAGGAGAAGGAAACAAAGAAUGAA